rnacentral:rRNA from 2 species
UGGAUCCAGACUUUGAUCAUGGCUCAGGAUGAACGCUAGCUACAGGCUUAACACAUGCAAGUCGAGGGGAAACGACAUCGAAAGCUUGCUUUUGAUGGGCGUCGACCGGCGCACGGGUGAGUAACGCGUAUCCAACCUGCCCACCACUUGGGGAUAACCCUGCGAAAGUAAGACUAAUACCCAAUGAUAUCUCUAGAAGACAUCUGAAGGAGAUUAAAGAUUUAUCGGUGAUGGAUGGGGAUGCGUCUGAUUAGCUUGUUGGCGGGGUAACGGCCCACCAAGGCUACGAUCAGUAGGGGUUCUGAGAGGAAGGUCCCCCACAUUGGAACUGAGACACGGUCCAAACUCCUACGGGAGGCAGCAGUGAGGAAUAUUGGUCAAUGGGCGAGAGCCUGAACCAGCCAAGUAGCGUGCAGGAUGACGGCCCUAUGGGUUGUAAACUGCUUUUAUAAGGGAAUAAAGUGGGAGUCGUGACUCUUUUUGCAUGUACCCUAUGAAUAAGGACCGGCUAAUUCCGUGCCAGCAGCCGCGGUAAUACGGAAGGUCCGGGCGUUAUCCGGAUUUAUUGGGUUUAAAGGGAGCGUAGGCCGGAGAUUAAGCGUGUUGUGAAAUGUUGAUGCUCAACAUCUGCACUGCAGCGCGAACUGGUUUCCUUGAGUACGCACAAAGUGGGUGGAAUUCGUGGUGUAGCGGUGAAAUGCUUAGAUACCACGAAGAACUCCGAUUGCGAAGGCAGCUCACUGGAGCGCAACUGACGCUGAAGCUCGAAAGUGCGGGUAUCGAACAGGAUUAGAUACCCUGGUAGUCCGCACGGUAAACGAUGGAUGCCCGCUGUUGGUCUGAAUAGGUCAGCGGCCAAGCGAAAGCAUUAAGCAUCCCACCUGGGGAGUACGCCGGCAACGGUGCAACUCAAAUGAAUUGACGGA